rnacentral:rRNA from 1 species
UGGUGGAGCGAUUUGUCUGGUUAAUUCCGAUAACGAACGAGACUCUAGCCUAUUAAAUAGUUCGCCGAUUUUUCGAGUCGACGUCAACUUCUUAGAGGGACAAGUGUCGUAUAGGCACACGAGAUUGAGCAAUAACA